GUUGUUUAAGAGAUGAUGGUGAAUGUCCUUUAACUCCACAACAAAUGAAAGUAAUGGAAAAGUUUGAAGGUAAAAAGUUAUCUAAAUUUCCCCCUGGUUGGGAUGCUUUUAUUAGACCAGAUAAAGUUUAUGAAUAUGUUUUUGAAAAACAGUGUCCUGAAAUUUCUUUUUAAGAAUUUUUUAUUUUAUUUUAUUAUUUCU
rnacentral:lncRNA from 1 species